rnacentral:tRNA from 1 species
UCGGCGGCCGCGUCGGAGACGGCGGCGAUCAACGCCGCCAGCGACGGUUCGAGUCCGGUGCCGGCGAGC